rnacentral:tRNA from 1 species
GCCUGGGUGGCUCAGUCGGUUGAGCAUCCGACCUCGGCUCGGGUCAUGAUCUCGCGGUCCGUGGGUUCGAGUCCCGCGUCGGGCU